UACAGAGGGGGCAAGCGUUGUUCGGAAUUACUGGGCGUAAAGCGUGCGCAGGCGGCUUUGCAAGACAGAUGUGAAAUCCCCGGGCUCAACCUGGGAACUGCAUUUGUGACUGCAUGGCUAGAGUGCGGCAGAGGGGGAUGGAAUUCCGCGUGUAGCAGUGAAAUGCGUAGAUAUGCGGAGGAACACCGAUGGCGAAGGCAAUCCCCUGGGCCUGCACUGACGCUCAUGCACGAAAGCGUGGGGAGCAAACAGG
rnacentral:rRNA from 1 species